UGGGCCCGAGUUUGAUCCUGGCUCAGAGCGAACGCUGGCGGCAGGCUUAACACAUGCAAGUCGAGCGGGCGUAGCAAUACGUCAGCGGCAGACGGGUGAGUAACGCGUGGGAACGUACCUUUUGGUUCGGAACAACACAGGGAAACUUGUGCUAAUACCGGAUAAGCCCUUACGGGGAAAGAUUUAUCGCCGAAAGAUCGGCCCGCGUCUGAUUAGCUAGUUGGUGAGGUAACGGCUCACCAAGGCGACGAUCAGUAGCUGGUCUGAGAGGAUGAUCAGCCACAUUGGGACUGAGACACGGCCCAAACUCCUACGGGAGGCAGCAGUGGGGAAUAUUGGACAAUGGGCGCAAGCCUGAUCCAGCCAUGCCGCGUGAGUGAUGAAGGCCCUAGGGUUGUAAAGCUCUUUUGUGCGGGAAGAUAAUGACGGUACCGCAAGAAUAAGCCCCGGCUAACUUCGUGCCAGCAGCCGCGGUGCU
rnacentral:rRNA from 1 species